rnacentral:lncRNA from 1 species
GGGAAUAUAUAAGCUAGCUUGUAUAUCUAUUAUCAUCGAGAUAGAAUUGUGCAGAAUUUUAUGCAUAUUUUUUAACUUAAGUGCAAGAACCAUAUAUUUUGCAUCUACUCUGUUCCCAAAUAAUAUGUAAGAAAAAUGCUUUUUGUAAUGUGCCUUUAAAUUGUAUUUUGCUGAUGAUGAAUCUAUGAGCCACUUAAUGGUUUUCCAGGUGGGGC